AUUGAACGCUGGCGGCAUGCUUUACACAUGCAAGUCGAACGGCAGCGCGGGCUUCGGCCUGGCUGCGAGUGGCGCACGGGUGAGUAAUGCAUCGGAACGUGCCCAGUAGUGGGGGAUAGCCCGGCGAAAGCCGGAUUAAUACCGCAUACGACCUGAGGGUGAAAGCGGGGGAGCGAAAGGCCUCGCGCUAUUGGAGCGGCCGAUGUCGGAUUAGCUAGUUGGUGGGGUAAAGGCUUACCAAGGCGACGAUCCGUAGCUGGUCUGAGAGGACGACCAGCCACACUGGGACUGAGACACGGCCCAGACUCCUACGGGAGGCAGCAGUGGGGAAUUUUGGACAAUGGGGGCAACCCUGAUCCAGCCAUGCCGCGUGCGGGAAGAAGGCCUUCGGGUUGUAAACCGCUUUUGUUCGGGAAGAAAUCCUCUGGGCUAAUACCCCGGGGGGAUGACGGUACCGGAAGAAUAAGCACCGGCUAACUACGUG
rnacentral:rRNA from 1 species